rnacentral:misc_RNA from 1 species
AUGAGCCCCUGGAAGCAUUUGCGAAUGUGGAAUAUUAUGAGGUGCCAACCAGAGAUAGACAAACUUUGGAAUGAUUAUCUUUUGCUUUUUAGCAAAAGAAUAUAUUUUUAAUCAUUUAUUACCAUUCACAUUCUCUAACAUUAUUUGGAAAUGCACGAUACAAUAUAGCGCAAGUAACUAAAUCAAAUGGAUACAGCCUAAGGAUCACAACAAAGAAAUCAAUAGCCAAG